UUCGGCCCCGGUACAGUGGCGCACGGGUGAGUAACACGUAGAUCAUCUCCCCUCGAGUGGUGGAUAACUCUCCGAAAGGAGAGCUAAUACAGCAUAAGACCACGGCUUCGCUGAAGCUGCGGUCAAAGCAGGCCUCUACACGUAAGCUUGCGCUUGAGGAUGAGUCUGCGGCCCAUCAGCUAGUUGGUAGGGUAAUGGCCUACCAAGGCAAAGACGGGUAGCUGGUCUGAGAGGAUGAACAGCCACACUGGAACUGAGACACGGUCCAGACUCCUACGGGAGGCAGCAGUGGGGAAUCUUGCGCAAUGGGCGAAAGCCUGACGCAGCGACGCCGCGUGAGCGAUGAAGGCCUUCGGGUUGUAAAGCUCUGUGGGGAGGAAAGAAUAAGGGUUGGCUAAUAUCCAGCUCGAUGACGGUACCUCCUUAGCAAGCACCGGCUAACUCUGUGCCAGCAGCCGCGGUAAGACAGAGGGUGCAAACGUUGUUCGGAAUUACUGGGCGUAAAGCGCGUGUAGGCGGCUUUGCAAGUCGGGUGUGAAAUCCCACGGCUCAACCGUGGAAGUGCACUCGAAACUGCAAGGCUAGAGUCCUGGAGAGGAAGGUGGAAUGCUUGGUGUAGAGGUGAAAUUCGCAGAUAUCAAGCGGAACACCGGUGGCGAAGGCGGCCUUCUGGACAGUGACUGACGCUGAGACGCGAAAGCGUGGGGAGCAAACAGGAUUAGAUACCCUGGUAGUCCACGCCGUAAACGAUGAGUGCUAGGUGUCACGGGCUUUGACCCUCGUGGUGCCGAAGCUAACGCGUAAGCACUCCGCC
rnacentral:rRNA from 1 species